AACACAUCACACACUGAGCAAUGCACAACCAUAAGUUCUUCAACGAUACAUUUUACGGCCUUGUAUCACUAUCCUUUCAUGAAUGUUUACAAAGUAAAGUCCUUAACUUUGUGGUUUGCCGAAAACCAACAUUCAUAUAGGCGACAUCUUAGUGCCCCCGCCAUAGAUAGCACUUUAAAGAUUCGUUAAGAGUCCAAUGACUCAUCCUUACAUUUGCACUGGCGAGAAUAACAUGCACUAUUCAACAUUGGGAUGACUAAACUUCAUAUAGUGCACCAACCACUAGAAUGAUGUACUUUCACUCAUUGAAUUCAGGACCAGACGUUGUAUCUAGCGUUGAAUUGAGGUUCCACCAUUAGUGAUCAAGAAUUUUGGACUUUAAACCCAUUCCCC
rnacentral:lncRNA from 1 species